AUUGAACGCUGGCGGCAGGCCUAACACAUGCAAGUCGAGCGGAGCGGCGGACGGGUGAGUAAUUCCUAGGAAUCUGCCUGGUAGUGGGGGAUAACGUCCGGCAACGGGCGCUAAUACCGCAUUCUAUCAGAUGAGCCUAGGUCGGAUUAGCUAGUUGGUGUGUUAAAGGCCUACCAAGGCGACGAUCAGUAACUGGUCUGAGAGGAUGAUCAGGCACACUGGAACUGAGACACGGUCCAGACUCCUACGGGAGGCAGCAGUGGGGAAUAUAGGAGUAUGGGCGAAAGCCUGAUCCAGCCAUGCCGCGUGUGUGAAGAAGGUCUUCGGAUUUUAAAGCACUUUAAGUUGAGAGGCGUUACCAACAGAAUAAGCAACGGCUAAGUUCGUACCAGCAGCCGCGGUAAUUC
rnacentral:rRNA from 1 species